ensembl:lncRNA
AUUUGUAGCUGCGGGGUUGUGUGGGUGCUGUGGUGGUCUAUAGGGUGUGGCUUUGUGGGGGGCUACAGUGGGCUUGUGGAGCUUUGAGGGGCGUGUGGGCUCUGAGGUGUAAUUUGGGGCUUUAAAGGUGUGUUUUGGGUGCCCCAUUGGUCCGUAGUGAGCUGCAGGAGGACGCCCUGUGGGGCUGUAGGGGAGCGUUGGGGCUGUAGGACCUGAAGUGGGAUGUAAUUUGGGGUCGUAGUGGUGUGGGGCUGUAGUGGGCUACGAGUGUAAGGGGCUGCCCUGUGGGGCUGCAGCAGUGGACACCGUGGAGCUCGGGGUAGGACGUAGUUUGUGUCUGCAAGGCUGUAUGGGGGCUGUGGGAUCCAUCCCAUGGGGCUGUAGGGGGAUGCCCUGAGGGGCUGCAGUGGGUUGUAGGGUCAAGGGGAUGCUCCAUGAGCUGCGUGGGGGAGGGGCUGUAGCAAAACCCCAGCAUGAUGUGACCUCGUCCAGCUCCUGCGCUGAUCCCUGUUGAAAGCAAGUGAGAAUGCUGCAACAAAAUCUGGCUGCGGAUGAAACAUUCUUGCAGCAGCCUUGGAGGCUGAAUGUCAGCUGAGGAUCUCAAAAGUGAGGGGGAGCAGCAAACGCCUUGUCUCAAGACCCUUUUUCAGGACCUGAGGGAAUGGUGCUUCUACUGCAGCAGUGCAGCAAAAACUUGCAUGCAAGACGUGCAUCUGGAUGGUGAAUGCAGAAACACUGAAGCAAGGUAUGUUGUAAAAACAAAAACAACACAGGAACACCUGACCCACAGCCAGGAGCCUCCCCGUUACAUUGGGAACAGCCCUCAUCAGCAUCUCACACUGAGGCAGCUUGAGCUGACGAAGCCUUUGGAAAGCACUGAUUCCUAUGUGUCCUGGAGCACAGCAAGCACAGAUGAUGAUGAAGCCAUCACAGCUGGUUACAGCUUUAUUGCAUGAGCUUGAGCUGCCCAUUCUUUGGUGCCAGUGGAUGGCAUGAUGCUUUGAAAAGGAGCCCAUCAUUGGACAUCAUGGAACCUAAUUGGCACGGUUUGUCACAGCAUCAACACUGGGUAGCUUAGCCUGUAGAGCUGAGGGACCACCUCAGCCUCUCAAAAACUACUGGCACAUGCUGUCUUGCUCUUUCAACACUGCACUGAGAUUUUCAUAUUUCUCCAGCCAAUCUUCCAUUCCCUCUCUUGCAAGGAACAGCAAGAAGGGCAUGUAAAAGGCAAUAGCGAGGCUGGAAAAUCCCAAGUAAGGCUCUACCCCUGGCUGAAGGUCAGGAGAGUGGCCAUAAAUGCUGGCCAAGGCUGGAUCAUGAGAGGCUCCUCAGGGAUGGGGAGCCGUGGACAGAUGUGCGCUCCUGGAUCCAGCUGUGCCACUGGACGUGCUCCCCCCUCCAGACAUUUCUCCCCACCCUCCAGAUGCUCCAGCCCCUGCAGCACAAAGCAGCGUCGCUCACUGGGGUGAACUCUCCAUUGACAGAAUGUUGCAGAGCAUCAUUUCCAGCUAAGGCCAGUAAUGAGUAGCUGGGGCAUGGUGACAUUUCCAGCUGACAGCCCUCUGUGGAAAGAACGUCUGCCUGUGGCUGGAGAAUAACCAAGGUGGCCAAGGAGGAGCGGUUUGAGACAGUUCAGGAUUGCUGGGAGGAGGUCGGCGAGCCAUGCAGCAAAACUAGUUGCAUUUCAUAGAAAAGUGUAAGAAGGGCUUUUAUAGCCAAAGUUGUAGCAGGGAAGCAGGCAAGGAGGGAAGUGAAACUAUGAGCAAACCAAAGGGGCUCGUACUCAGAGCCCCCCUCAAAAUCCCGUCCCCUUAGUUCCCAAAAACGUGUUUUGGGAAAUUUUAGAUUUAAGAAAUCAAUCUGUGUAGGCUGCAGACAUCCUCUGGUAUUCAUCCUCAGUUGUUAAUGGAAGGAUUAGUUAAUGAACAUUUUGAUCCGUAGGUGGCUAUUUUAUAAAUUUUUGGACAACGUGGUCCUGAGAGGCAGAAAGGAAAUGUGGUGGUGAUUUAGAGCAGAAAAGGAUAGAAUAUAAUUCUGGCACUCACCAGCCUAUAAAUAUCGUAGAACAAAUAUUUAAGAAAAAGUCAUGAUGAAAUGUUUAGAGCUUGGUUCUGUCCACACGAUAGUGUCAACAGGGAGAAACUGCAGAAGCCAGAUGCUGAGUAAAAUUACCAGGAGACAAGAGUUGGACUUGAAGAAUGAUGGGCACAGAAAACUUUUCUUCUUUUCCAACUUUUUUUUUUUUUGGUGGGAAGAGGUAUAACGUUAGAGAAUGACAGAGCCAGAAGAUGAAGGGAGCACACAUUUAUGAACAUGUGUUUUUGUUUUGAUUAAUGUAUUCUGCUUCUUUGUCUUAGGAAAUAAGAAAUUAGAAUAAAAAAAAUGUGUUGGUCUGAAACACAGUUUGUGCAAACUGAAAACACAUUGAAAUGCAGUAACUAAUCCCAAACAAGAGCAAGCUGCGUUGAACAAGGCGUGUCCACCAGGGUAGGACAAGAGUCAGGAUCAAGUUUCGUUAACAACUUUGCUGAUGAUCCGAGAGGACAGCACCAGUAUAAAUUGAAAUUCACAGAGGACAGUAAAUUAGAAGCAGAUUAGUAAGUAAGCAGGAGUUUUCUGUGGUUUAGAUCUACUUCUGUUCCAAACACCUGGAAAUUUCCACCCGAUAUGAAGAGGUAUUUCAUGCACUGAAAAAUCUCAUCUCAUUGAGUGACAUUUUCAUUACUCACCACCUAGCCCACUCAGUCUCUUUGUAACCCUCUGAAUGUACUUCUGGGUAUCUUUCACAGGUCUUUCCACAGGUCCAACCCUUCUCUUUGUUAACUUGUGUGACAUUUAGAGACACGUUUCUGGAACACACGUGCACCCAGUGCUUGCAGCCGCCAUCUCCAGGUUUGCUACCUGCCCACUUUCCCCACAUGCAAAGAAAAUCACUUGAAGUCACUCCAGUGAUGGAGUGGUGCGCAUUUGAAUGUAUGCCCCAUCUCCACAUGGCCUCCAGCGCUCUUAUCUGCUAAUACAAAUAAAACUGGUUUCAUAAGAAACCUCCCAGGUCUGUGUUUGCCGACAUGCUCCUGUGGCACAUAGAAUGCUCCCUGACCUCCUUCUCCUUAUGUGACUUGGGUGAUCCGUGGCUGUUACUCAAGACCUUUCAUCCACGGAAUCUUGGGUAACAUCCGUGAGUUUUCUAAGUAGAAUAAGUCAGGUCCCUGGAGCGCUGACCUGGGCUCUCCACGCUAUCGGGAGAAAGGGAGCAGGGAAGGACAGAGCUUGUGAGCCUGUGUCUUCUUCCAUCAUGCCGGCCUGAGGGAACAUCAUGGAGCUGUGUCGGGAGGGUCAGGCUGAGUGUUUGGAAAAGGUCCUUCACCAGAAGGCGGUGGGCAUGGAACAGGCUCCUCAGGGCAGUAGGCACAGGCCCCAGCUGCUGGAGCUCAAGGUGCAUUUGGACAACACUCUCAGCCAUAGGGUUUGAAUUUUGGGUGGUCCUGUGUGGAGCCAGGCAUUGGACUCGAUGUUCCUUAUGGGUCCCUUCCAACUCAGGAUAUUCUGUGAUCUUAUGGUUCUAGACGGACACAGGCUAUUUCUGGGGCUGAUGUGAUAACUUCUGAUCUUCUCUCACAGAUAAAGCCCAAUGUGUGAGGAAAUCAGGCUGGUGAUUGGAUCAGCUUUACCUUACGCGGAGGGAGCAGCCACGAUGGGAAAGGGAGGACUUCAUCUGUUAAUUAUUUCAGCAUCUGCUGCGGAUGAAGGGACUUUCAGAUUCCCACGCUGUCUGGCCAGUGAGGAGCUGGAGGUGCACAAGGAGCUGGAAAGGGACAGAACAAGGACAGCUGACCCAGACUCACCAAAGGGACAUCCCAUACCAUACAGCACCAUUCUGAACAAUAAAACUGUGGGGAGGGCUGCUACUGCUUGGGGACUGGAUGGACACCAGUCAGCAGUUCUCUCUCCCGUCCCACUGGGGAGCAAUGAACGGCUGCGUGGUGCUGAGCUGCCUGCCGGGUUAAACCACAACAGCAGAAAAAUGAUGUUGACAACUUACACAAAAUACCUUGAGCACCUGUGAGUCACUUCAGUAACAUCUUUCUCUUAGAGAUAUAUAAUAGCACAGUUGGAUGCAGGAUGAUUACAGCCAGAUUUCAUGUCAAGUUAAAGCUUGUAUUAUACCCAUGCCCUCCUAGGCAAGCCCAUCAAGGACAUCACUCUACGGCACAUCCAGCAAACACCUGCCUGGAGAUCUCUGCUCUGAGCUGAGAUAAAUACAUUCUUCAGCUCCCUCAACAGAGCAGCUAUUCACUUGGACGAUCUGCAUGAUUUGUCCAGCUGCCAGAUUUUGAGCCUUGGUCUUCAUCCAGGAGAAACAGAUACCAAGUUGGGCGGCUUUUGCCUCCAGGCAUCCAAGCGUGUGUUCCAGGUGUAGUGCUGACUAACCAUCAGGAGCCACAGCGUCCGCAGAGCAGAGGUCAGUGAAGGUCACUCAGAGAUCCUGAGCAAUGCAUCAGAGUUCUUGAGCCCGGGCACUGAAGGCCCAGCACCACGGCGUGGGGAUGCCAGCUUUCCAAGCAGAUCCAUUGCUCCGUCACCCCUGGUAGCCCUGCGAUCAUGUGAAGGUCAACUCUUGGUGAGAUCCCCAGGCAAUGGAAUCACGCUGGGGGAAGGACUUUACUCCUGUUCUGUCUUUGCAGCUAUAGCGGGACAAGGUUCAGCGUCCAGACUGCUAACAAAACAAAAUCGUUCUGGGCAGUCUUUGCAAGUCAGCGGCGGCUGAGUUUUGGCAAAGAGUGCAGGGGCAAAGCCUGGCACAGCACCAGGCGGUGACGCAGUUGGUCAGCAUCCUCUGCAGCCUGAUGGUUGACCUUUUCUUUUGCGCAAUAAGAAAGCAAUGUCCUUCCUCCAUCCCAGAGGGACUUGGCCAGACCCUCGGCACAGGAGCAACAUUCAUCUGCCCCAGCUUUAGGUGUCAACAGCAAACAUCUACAGUCCUCCUCAUCAACAUCAGCUUUCUUUAGUGACCCUCUUGUGGAGAAAUGCAGUUGCAUCUAAAGAUUGGUCUGUUGCUUUUGAUACCAACUUUAGUGUGAAGGCAAGCUCAUCCCUGGAGGUGUUUUAGGCCAAGUUGGAUCAGGCCCUGGACAAUUUCAUCUAGUGCCUGACUGAGUGGUUGGCAAUCCUGUCCCCAGCAAGGGGGUUGGAGCUCGAUGGUCUUUGAGGUCCCUUCCAACCUAAGCCAUUCUAUGAUUCUGUGAUUCAAAUCAAGCUCAAAUAUUGUGUCUGACAUUUAUAAUGCUAUGAUCUAUGUUCCUUGUGAAUUAUAAAGGUACUUCCUUGAGACAUUCCAUAGCCCACUCUGUGAGACCUGACCUUUUGCACAAAUGGCCCUAAUCAUGCUAGAAAACAUAUGCCGGUCCCUUAAAGGCCCAUAAGCUUGGCAGCCAUUGGAGGGAUAUAACGUGCCUGUUGAGUCUGGGAGAUAGCACCAAGUUAAUCUCUACAGCAGCUUUUCAUUGCUGAAAUUGGAAGUAUCUCCACUUAGACAUUAUUAUGAGGGAUGCUCUGAAAGUAAUGCCUCCUAUUUUAUGAUGUUGGCCCACAGCAGAGGUGGAUGUUGGUGGUACGGCUGUAGAGUUUGAACCUUUCUACCAAUAUUCCAUUACAUUUUGUUGCCACAUGACAGAUGGCAGCAGAGGGAUGGUCUGACAGAACAGCAUCUAACAUGGAAGUGAUUUUGAAGCAAAGGUGUGGAAUUUAAUUCCUCCAUGUGGAAAAAAAUGGUGCUCAUUUACCUUCGUUGAUGCCUGAUGAACUUUUAUGGA